GUGGCAGAGUCAGGAUUUGACAUGACAGACAACAACUAUUUUCGUCCAAGGCAACUGACCACGUGGCGAUGCACGCGGUGACUCAUCAUUGGACUCAGAAGUUGGGGGCAACUAUUGGGAUAGACGACCGAUCCCUAUAAACCGAUCGAUCUCCAGCGCAGACCGACCGACACUUGACUCUGGCCCCACAAACAGAUAUGACCCUGAA
rnacentral:lncRNA from 1 species